rnacentral:rRNA from 1 species
AUACGGAGGGUGCAAGCGUUAAUCGGAAUUACUGGGCGUAAAGCGCGCGUAGGCGGAUAUUUAAGUCUCAUGUGAAAGCCCUGGGCUCAACCUGGGAACUGCAUGGGAUACUGGGUAUCUAGAAUACAGUAGAGGGUAGUGGAAUUUCAGGUGUAGCGGUGAAAUGCGUAGAGAUCUGAAGGAACAUCAGUGGCGAAGGCGACUACCUGGACUGAUAUUGACGCUGAGGUGCGAAAGCGUGGGGAGCAAACGGAAUUAGAAACCCCUGUAGUCC